rnacentral:rRNA from 1 species
AACAUAGGUGGCAAACGUUAUCCGGAAUUAUUGGGCGUAAAGGGCGCGUAGGCGGUUAGAUAAGUCGGCUGUGAAAACCUCGGGCUUAACUCGAGGCCUGCAGUUGAAACUGUCUAGCUGGAGUGUGGGAGAGGAGAGUGGAAUUCCCGGUGUAGCGGUGAAAUGCGUAGAUACAAUCAAGAACUCCGAUUGCGUAGGCAGCUAACUAGGCUGUAACUGACGCUGAGGCACGAAAGCGUGGGGAGCGAACAGG